CGCGUAGGCGGUUUGGUAAGUCGGAUGUGAAAGCCCCGGGCUUAACCUGGGAAUUGCAUUCGAUACUGCUUGGCUGGAGUGUGGUAGAGGGAAGCGGAAUUCCGGGUGUAGCGGUGAAAUGCGUAGAGAUCCAGAGGAACAUCAGUGGCGAAGGCGGCUUCCUGGACCAACACUGACGCUGAGGUGCGAAAGCGUGGGGAGCAAACA
rnacentral:rRNA from 1 species